AAGAAGAUAGAUGCUUCUUAAUCAAAAACAGAGAUUCAUUAGGAAGCAAAGUAAUGUAUCCCUUUUUUCUCUCUUUCUUUAUGCUUUUACUGUCUCUCUCGCUCUUGUAAUCAGUUAUUUUUGGAAUUGCGAUCAGGCGAUGAAGCAAAAACGCACAUAAAUUCAAUUCUGUAAAACGGGGAUGAAACUAGUUACGCGAUUGGUUAAAUUACGCAACUUUUGUCAACAGUAUAAAUUAAGUUGAUAAAGUUGUUCAAGGUAUGUCUUGAAGUAGAUGCCACGUCGCCAUUUUAUUAUUUUGUUUUUUAUUACGUGUUUUUGUUUUAUUUUAUGUUUCAUUUAUUUAAUACGAGUGUUUAAUUCUUUUUUUAUUCACACAAAGGAAUAGAUAAGGACUAAGUACUUAAAAUUUUUCGCGUAACAGAUGAAUUUUGUGCAUCUACAUUGCAUCUUGUCUUGAAAGGCAAACCACGCCAGACAACCAUUUUAAAAUUUGCUUUUUUAUGUGUUUUUAUUCAAUUUCAUUAUAUAUUUACUUCAUACAAUAAUUGUUAAAUCGUUAUUUCUCUAUUUUUACAGAUUGAAGAUAAACAAGUGUAGAGAUAGAAGUUCAUUUUGGUGCUGCUGAAAUAACAUACCUGGUCUCUCUUAUGGUGUUUUAUCUGUUAACUUUUCAUCUUGGAGGCUUUUGUAGUUGAUUAAUUAAGAAACGUUUGAAGGACUCCAGAUGCCAUUAAAUUAUAGAGCAUUGGCUGUGUUAGUCGAUAAUUGCUCCAGAACGUAGCCGUACCUAUGGCCCUAAAAAAAGCAUGAAAAUGCCAUUUUUCUAUUGAGAAUGGAGCUGUUGCUGAAAAAAGGAUUUAUGACAAUGAACUGAUGGUUCAUUAAAUGAGAAGGAAUUAAUUUUGGUGCCACUCAAACAAUCGACGCUUUUGAUGUCUUCACCUUGCAACAUUAUGUAGUUAAUUUUGGCCCUGAGAAUGGGAGGUAAUUGGAAAUUAUUUACGUGAGAGCCACUCAAACAACAAAUCAUCCCUUCUAGAUUUCGUUUGCUCAUCAUACUGGUAGACUUUAGAACGCUACUUUCUAUAGUUAAUUAAGAUUGAAGGUGAACAAGUAUGGAGAUUGAAGUUCAUUUUGGUGCUGCUGAAAUAACAUGCCCAGUCCCUCUUAUGGUGUUUUAUCUGUUAACUUUUCAUCUUGGAGGCUUUUGUAGUUGAUUAAUUAAGAUGGUUCAACAAAUGAGAAGGAAUUAAUUUUGGUGCCACUGAAACAAUCGACGCUUUUGAUGUCUUCACCUUGCAACAUCAAGUACUUAAUUUUGGCGUUGUGAAUGGGAGGUAAUUGAGAGCCACUCAAACGACAAAUCAUCUCUUCUAGAUUUGGUUUGCUCAUCAUACUGGUAGAUUUUAUAACGGUACUUUCUACAGUUAAUUAAGGUGAGAAUACAUUACAUAAUUAAUAUUAAUUCUCUUUAUUAAUAUGUAAUGGCAUUUCUUUUAACAAUUGUCUAUUGUCUACAGUAUAAACUGAGGUUAUGGCGUAUCUAUAAUAUUUAAAAUACUUGUUGUUCUCAGAAUCUAUGGAAUUCCGUUUAACAUUUAUCUAUUGUACACAGCCUAAAUUGACUUUAUCGUGGCACCUAUGGUAUUUUAAUAAUAUCUAUUGUCUACAUCAAAAAUUGACAUCGCGUCUGUCGAAUGUGACCUGUCUUAAUGUGAACUUGACGUUUGUCGCCAUUUUAUAAUUCAGGUGUUUUACUUGCUUUUUGGUGCGUGUUUUUAAGUGUGUUUAAUCCCAUCCUUAAGUAAUAGUGUAAUUAAUAUGUUUUUUUGUCCAUUUCUGCAGAUCGUUCAUCAAUUGAGUUCAGUUUGGUCACACUGAAACAUGAAAUGUUCUAUAUGGGUGUGGUCAUUGG